rnacentral:rRNA from 1 species
UACGUAGGGGGCAAGCGUUGUCCGGAAUUAUUGGGCGUAAAGCGCGUGUAGGCGGUCCGGUAAGUCGGUUGUGAAAGUCCAGGGCUCAACCCUGGGAUGCCGACCGAUACUGUCGGACUAGAGUUCGGAAGAGGCGAGUGGAAUUCCCGGUGUAGCGGUGAAAUGCGCAGAUAUCGGGAGGAACACCAAUGGCGAAGGCAGCUCGCUGGGACGUUACUGACGCUGAGACGCGAAAGCGUGGGGAGCGAACGGG